rnacentral:tRNA from 1 species
GGAAGAUGCUGCUGAAUGGACGGCAACUGGUCUCGAAAACCAGAGUACGGGUAACUGUAGGGGUUCGAUUCCUCCAUCUUCCACCA